ACGAGUUGUACCACGAUACACUGAAGUUAAGGAAUAAACAAGACAUUGUGUUCGGGACAAGAAUUUUCAGUAUUCCACCAUUGACGUAGUUAUAGAUGCAGUAAGCGACUACAGACAGUAUAUACACAGAUUGCUACUCAGGGACUGAAAUGUGAGGCUCUGCGCGUGUCUGGAAUGUCUCGCCGAGGUCUUGCGGGACACGCCAGCCCAGCCAAGCGAUCCAUUUCAUUUAUACACUGCAAAGAAUGAGUCAUUGUUCAGGGCAUGGCGUGAAAACUGCUGUGCGUCUGUGAGUGAAGAUUAACUGUGAAAAUGACCUUGGUGUAAUUGGAUUGCCUGAGGUAAUGGGUUAGUCAAUCUAUAAGGAAAUGGCAAGAUGAGUGAAUUAAUGACUGUUGUGGGUUUAAUUAGUGAGUCUUAUAUAAAACAAUGAAAGAAUAGCAAAGCAAUGACCAGAGUAGAAAAAUGAAUGGGGGAGUAAUGAUGCUGCUGUUGUUGUGAGGGUGCUUAUAUUACCAGGUUAAUGAAUGUGAUAGAAAAAGAAUGGAAGGAAAGACGGGGAAUUAAAAUAAUGAUCUUGUGGUGGUUUGUUACUCGUAGUGAUACUGUCAAUGGUCUGGUAGAAAAAGAAUAAGAAGAAACGCGCGUAAUAAAUCUUUCUAGGUUGUGAUUGAAGUUAGUGUGUUAAAUAGACGGUGUUAGAGAUUUGAAAGAGAUAAGGGGCGACGUAGCGACUUUCUUGUUUUGGUUUAUCAGGAUACUAUAGCUUUUAUUGAUUAGUCUAAUAGAGGAAAAAUAAAAGAAAGCAACGAAUUAUUGACUACGGUUUUGUUGUGCUGAAGUGAAUAGGUUAAUCAGGCUGUCCGAUAGAUAAAAGAUCAAAGAAAAGGCGUUAAAGACCAAAUGGCCGUGUUGGUAUUGUGGUGUUUGAGUUAGUGCGGACUCGUCAGUCAAUCCAACAAAUAAAGAAUUAAACGAACAUUGAAGUAGUGACCUUGUUGUUGUUGUUGUUGUUGUUGUUGUUGUUGUUAAGUUAAUUGGGGAUAAAUCUCUAGAUAUAAAGAAGAAAGUUUGCGAAUUAAUGUGUUGUUUGAAGUUAAUGUGGUAAUUAAUUAGUUUAAUAAAGAAAACACUGAAAGAUUGAUAUUAGCGGCGAAAACAUAAUUUGUUGGAAAUAGCACAAUAAUGAGUAAUAAUGUUCAAAUCAAUGACACUGAAAAGAGAGAAGCCAGAGAAACUUGGUAACUUUCAGCUAAAUUGUGUCGGUUCUGAGACAGAGAAGCAGUACUGAAUAAUGUUAGUAAGUUGAAGAGAACCAGAGUAUUUGUGAACGAUGACCUGUGCCAUGCUUCUCAUAAUGUUCUCAAAGCACAACAUUCUGCACUAAAGCAGGCCGGAAGGGAGAACAUCGCGUGUUUCCGCCACACGAGAUUGAUGAUUGAGGAGAGGCAUGUCUCGGAACAAACCAAUGAACCACACGGAUGAAGCGGAGGAGCAUGGGCGCUGCAGUUGAGGGACAUCACCCGUUGGCGUAGGUGGUGGCGGCGAGAGUGGCCCGUCAAGUGCAGCUGCUACUUCCCCCCCCCAACCUCCAGUAGUGCCCCGUCUGGCAGUCAUCCUUCUGCUGGUGUCCCAUGUGCUCCUGAUAUGCAUCACUCUGGUGGUGUGGCCGCCGCUGAUCUUCCCGCUGACGUAGGCGCUCUCGUCUCCUUGGGCCAGUGGGAAAAGGCUCCAAGUGGCAGCGGUGUCCCAGGCAGCGGGAGUAGUGUUGUAUUGCAAGGAUGUGCCACCAACCAGUUCAGAUUGCACAGAGGAGCAGGAAACCAGCCCUGCCUGUGAGAGUGUAAUGCAUGCCUGCCCUGCUUAGGCAACUCUGUGGUGGGUUGGUGUACGUGUGUGUCUCCAUCAAAAAGUGACUAAAUGAAAGUUGUAGAAAUUGAAGAGGAAGGAAAAAGUAAAGUUGUGGAUGACACUACUGAACCUCACCACAAACCUGAGGAGAUGUCUAAACUGGCUGUUUGAGGGGACAGCCCAUUCAGUAAGGUCCCUGCAAAAUGGACACGGUGACCAGACCCACUUCUUACAUUAGAAUUUGAAUAAUGUGCCAAGUUCAUUCCAAGGCUUUGUGUGAAGCAGGGACACAACCAGUAAGAAUAAAUAUAGGAAGAAGAACAAGCUGCCAAAGCAACAAUACUCGGUGAAUCAGCUGAGUCACGUACCUGGUCUCCCCUACUGAGUGCGGCCGUUAGUAGGGUCUAUUGGCAUCCUUGGGUCGCUUGAGCUGAACCUUUAGGCGCUUCAUGCCGAUCUGGAAGCCAUUCAUUGCUUGGAUUGCUGCUUGAGCUGAGGCAGGGUUGUCAAAGCUCACAAACCCUGAAAAUGAUGAUUCCAGUCUGCCUCUCUCUAGUAGGUCUGCUACCACUACAAGCUAAGUGAACACAUGAAAAUAAGAGUGUCUCACCGAAGCACUUGCUCUGGUUGGUGGCUCUAUCAAUGAACACCUUGGAGGAGAUCACAUUUCCAAAAGGAAGGAACAUCUGCAUCAACUCGGCAUCACCAAACUCCUGCGGCAAGUGGUAGAUGAAGAGGUUGCAGCCUUCAGGUCCUGAGAUGGAGCAACCUGCCAAAGUGACACACUGGUUAAUGGGAGAACUGCACCCAGAGACAAUGGCAAAGAGAAUAAAAAGUAUGAGAAGUAAUCUGCUGUUGAGAUCUUUAUGAAACUGUAAGAAUUAGUGUUAUAUGAUUUCUUAUACAAACAUCCAUCAAAGAUGGCUUUAAACAUUUCAUGACAUUCAUGAUUUUUUAAUAAAAGUGGAAAUAUUAA